GGGUGACGAAGCGACGCCGCGUGGGUGAAGAAGGCCUUCGGGUUGUAAAGCCCUGUCAGGAGUUAUGAAAUGUAAGUGCGCUAAUAUCGUGCUUAUUUGACAAAGGCUCCAAAGGAAGCCACGGCUAACUCUGUGCCAGCAGCCGCGGUAAUACAGAGGUGGCGAGCGUUGUUCGGAAUUAUUGGGCGUAAAGAGCACGUAGGUGGGUUUGCAGGUCAGAUGUGAAAGCCUUCUGUUCAACGGAAGAAUUGCAUCUGAAACUGCUAAUCUUGAGUAUAGGAGGGGAGAAUGGAACUUCUGGUGGAGCGGUGAAAUGCGUAGAUAUCAGAAGGAACGCCGGCGGCGAAAGCGAUUCUCUGGCCUAUUACUGACACUCAGUGUGCGAAAGCUAGGGGAGCAAACGGGAUUAGAUACCCCGGUAGUCCUAGCCGUAAACGAUGGGCACUAAGUAGAGG
rnacentral:rRNA from 1 species